GACGAACGCUGGCGGCGUGCUUAACACAUGCAAGUCGAACGGAAAGGCCCUGCUUUUGUGGGGUGCUCGAGUGGCGAACGGGUGAGUAACACGUGAGUAACCUGCCCUUGACUUUGGGAUAACUUCAGGAAACUGGGGCUAAUACCGGAUAGGAGCUCCUGCUGCAUGGUGGGGGUUGGAAAGUUUCGGCGGUUGGGGAUGGACUCGCGGCUUAUCAGCUUGUUGGUGGGGUAGUGGCUUACCAAGGCUUUGACGGGUAGCCGGCCUGAGAGGGUGACCGGCCACAUUGGGACUGCGAUACGGCCCAGACUCCUACGGGAGGCAGCAGGGGGGAAUAUUACACAAUGGGCGGAAGCCUGAUGCAGCAACGCCGCGUGCGGGAUGACGGCCUUCGGGUUGUAAACCGCUUUAGCCUGUGACGAAGCGUGAGUGACGGUAAUGGGUAAAGAAGCACCGGCUAACUACGUG
rnacentral:rRNA from 1 species